UGGGGAAUAUUGCACAAUGGGCGCAAGCCUGAUGCAGCCAUGCCGCGUGUGUGAAGAAGGCCUUCGGGUUGUAAGCACUUUCAGCGAGGAGGAAGGUGGUGAACUUAAUACGUUCAUCAAUUGACGUUACUCGCAGAAGAAGCACCGGCUAACUCCGUGCCAGCAGCCGCGGUAAUACGGGAGGGUGCAAGCGUUAAUCGGAAUUACUGGGCGUAAAGCGCACGCAGGCGGUUUGUUAAGUCAGNUGUGAAAUCCCCGGGCUCAACCUGGGAACUGCAUUUGAAACUGGCAAGCUAGAGUCUCGUAGAGGGGGGUAGAAUUCCAGGUGUAGCGGUGAAAUGCGUAGAGAUCUGGAGGAAUACCGGUGGCGAAGGCGGCCCCCUGGACGAAG
rnacentral:rRNA from 1 species